AUAGUGGUUGCUAUGCUAUAAAAGUGGUUGCUAGGGUCAUUAUAGUGGUUACCAUGCUUUAAAAUGUGUAAAUAGUAAA